rnacentral:rRNA from 1 species
UACGGGGGGAGCAAGCGUUGUUCGGAUUUACUGGGCGUAAAGGGCGCGUAGGCGGCCACCGGCAAGUCGGUUGUGAAAUCUCUGGGCUUAACCCAGAAAGGUCAACCGAUACUGCGGGGCUAGAGUGCAGAAGGGGCAACUGGAAUUCUCGGUGUAGCGGUGAAAUGCGUAGAUAUCGAGAGGAACACCUGCGGCGAAGGCGGGUUGCUGGGCUGACACUGACGCUGAAGCGCGAAAGCUAGGGGAGCGAACGGG